rnacentral:rRNA from 1 species
AAUUUUUGAAAAGCUGCGGUAUCUUGGACCGUACAAAGGUAGCAUAAUAAUUAGUUCUUUAAUUGGGAACUUGUAUGAAUGGUCUGACAAAACAAAAACUGUCUUUGUUGUAAAAGUGUAAUUUAACUUUUAAGUGAAAAGGCUUAAAUAAUUCAAUGGGACGAUAAGACCCUAUAAGCAUUUGGCUGGGGCGGCAUGUUUAAAAAUGUUAACUAUUCUUAUUUUAACCACGUGUAUGUGAGUAGAUCCUUCAUAACGAUUAAAAGGUAAGUUACUUUAGGGAUAACAGCGUUAUUUUUUUUGAGAGUUCAUAUCGAAAAAAAAGAUUGCGACCUCGAUGUUGAAUUAAAAAUUCUGUAUAGUGCAGUAGCUUUACAAGAAGGUCUGUUCGACCUUUAAAUUUUU